rnacentral:misc_RNA from 1 species
AAGUCGUAACAAGGUUUCCGUAGGUGAACCUGCGGAAGGAUCAUUAGUGAAAUUAGGGCUGCUGCUUCGGCAGAGCCUGACCUCCACUUUCUAACUCUUGUGCACUAUUGGCGGGAGAAGUAAGGACUUUCGGGUCCGGUCAUCUCUCGCGGCUUACUUUUUAUAACACGAGUCAAAGUAUGUCAUAAACCAUAACAAAGAAAAACUUUCAACAACGGAUCUCUUGGCUCUC